UACGAAGGGGGCUAGCGUUGUUCGGAGUUACUGGGCGUAAAGGGCGCGUAGGCGGCGCACCAAGUCAGGCGUGAAAGCCCUGGGCUCAACCCGGGAAUUGCGCUUGAGACUGGUGUGCUCGAGUACGGGAGAGGAUAGUGGAAUUCCCAGUGUAGAGGUGAAAUUCGUAGAUAUUGGGAAGAACACCGGUGGCGAAGGCGGCUAUCUGGACCGUAACUGACGCUGAGGCGCGAAAGCGUGGGGAGCAAACAGG
rnacentral:rRNA from 1 species